GUGGUCGCUUCGGCAGCACAUAGACUAAAAUUGGAACGAUACAGAGAAGAUUAGCACGGCCUCUGCACAAGAAGGACACGCAAAUUUGUGAAGUGUUCCAUAUUAUU